CCGAUUUCCACGAAAGCCCCACUUUCCCACUCAAAACCGCAAUCCAUUCGAAGCCGAAACCCUAGCCAUAACUCAACCCGUGGCAUAAUCCCUUGAGGUAAUUUGUCCAAAAUCUAACCCUAACCCUAACCCUAACAUCAAAAAGAUGCAAUGGACUGUUAAGGAGCUAAAGAGAGUUCAAAAAGAAACUCGAAGACAUCAAGAAGGAGGAGAUUAAGCUUUGUAAGAGAGCGGAUGAGAUCGAGAAGAGAGAGUUGGGGCUGCUGGAGCAAGAAGUUGGAAUAUUGCGUUCACACAUAUUACUCCGGUGAUAUUGGACUUUUGUAGUUGUUGUGUCAUGUUAUGUAAUAGUAUGUAGGUGAUUUUGAAACUUCAUAUAUGUUGUAAAAUUUGUAGGCUUAUGUUAGACUAAUUAGUCGGUGCUUACUAGAGUUCACCAACGAAUUUUGUGAAAUUUGUACUUAGCUUAAGUUUUUGAAGUGAUUUGGGAUUGAGUUUUGUAUAAAUGAAUGAUUAGUUUAA